CGGGCUGCCACCGCGGGUGCCAGCAGGCGCCGUGCCACGUUACCUCCUUUCUGAGGAAAGCGUUGCUGGGGUUCCUGCUGUGCCCAGCACCUCUCCCCAGGGAGGGGGGCCAGGCCUGUGCUGCGCCCCACGCCCAUGGCAGGCAUCACCAGGACACGCGGCAUCGCUAUCCCCAUGUGCCCGCUGCCCUUCUCUGGCCCCACAGCCUCCAGACGCGAGGUCCCCGGCCAGCACGGCCCCACAGUGGUGUUACUGGUCCGACAGUGCCAGGGGAAGCUGGGAUGGGGAUGUGUCCUGUGGGGAUGUCCUGUGGGGAUGUGUCCUGCUUUAAACCAGGUUAAACCUCAACAGGAUGCAUGGCUGCAGGACAGCCUGGGCCUGGGUCCCGAGGCACUGCUCAUGGUGGAGAUGUGGCUGUGCCCCGCAGGGACACCCUGUGUGGGGACUGUCCCCUGGUGUCACAGCAGCAGAGCCCUUCCCUGGCACCUCUCUGUGUUGGGAAAUGAGUCCAAGACCCCGUGACCCAGGGCAGCCACAGCCCUCUGCUGAUCUUCCAGUGGGGUCUGGGAUUUGCCUGUCCGCCUCCUCCCUUACCCUCGUCCUGUUGGCUCUCAUGGGAUUUAGUCCCACUUCUACACCACUGUCCCCUAAAACUGCCUCUGCACUCAUUUUUCCUGAACAAAGUAUUUCUGCAUUGGACACCGCCAAAGGGGGACAGGUGUGGAAAUGCACCGGUGCCCGUGCCCCACCCAGCCCACACGAAAGGGGGCCCUGUAGCCCCCUGACCAUCACCGAGCCCCCCUGCGCCCCGCAGAGCAGAGCAUCCACCAAGGCACCCACAUUGCUCCGCGCGGUGCUGCCGGCGUGGGCUGGGGCGGCCGACACGGAUUGCACUGCACAUUCCUCUGCCUGUGGAAAUGGCAUCCACCCCUCCCAGGCGGGGAACACACCCCGCACCACCGGCACCACCAGCCUGUGUCAGCCGCAUCCAGGGCCCCAGGCACCGACUCUGGCUGGGACGCAAAGACAACAGGCGUGGGGCAGCGGGGGGAGCGCGUGUGGCCCCACAUUGCUCGUAGGGCUGGGCAGGCACCAGCACCCACAGAGGCCUGAGGAGCACAGGGACCCCCUGCGGCUGCACCAUCCUCACGGCAGCAUGGUGCCAGGGAGCUCUCCAUCUCCUGCUGCCACGGCUGUGGGGGGAGCGUCACAGGGCUGCAGCACAUUGCCUUGCUUUGCUGCACGAGUGGUUUGUGGGGGCAGCGAGCGAGCGGGCAGCUGCCAAGUGCAGGGACGCAGCGCUGGAGGCUCAGCCCCGGAUGGGCAGCACGGCCGGGCACAGGCAGCUAAACCCCCGCAUCUGAGCUGUCCCGGUGGAGCUGGGUUUGUGGGGCCCUGCUUGCGUGGCGGAGCAGCCCUACCACCAGCGGGUCCCCACGGAGGGCCACGGGGAUGCUGCCCUGUUCCCCAACCGCCCCGGUGCCUGCCCUGGCUGUGGGAACCCCGGGAGCAGGGGCCAGCCCCGUGUGCUCGCCCUGCGCACCCCGCACAGCCCCAGAUGGAGCCAGCUCACAUCCCUGGGCCCCAUCCUGAUCCUGCCAAUGGCCAAGCACAGGGACAGAAUGCCCCUGGGGCUGGAGGCAGUGGCAUGCUGGGGACAGCAGCUGACAGGACAUCUUUUGGUGGCUUUGGUAAUGCCGGGGUCAAUGUCUGCGUGCCAGCCCUGCUCCUGAGCUGGGGCCAGUGCAUGUGCAAGCCCGUGUGUGCGCCACUUUCAUGGGCAUGUGUGUGUGAUCCCCCCACUCUCACCUUCCUGCACAAGGCAGUUUUCGUGUGUGUGAGUGCAGGUACCUGGCAGCAGAGCCGCAGCAGAUACCUCCUGGUGCUGAGCUCAGCGUCUGGCUUGAGCCCCACCGCGUCCCAGCUGGGCACGGGCCAGCUCCUGCACACCUCGCCCCAUCCCAGCCUGUCCCAGCAGCACUGCCCGUGCUGGUGUGCCCUUGUGGGGCCACGCUCCCUGCAGCUGGCCAGCACAGCCUGGCAGCCUCAGGAGAGGCACCCCGUGGGGCACACAGCGUGGUGCUGGCUGAGCACCUCCAGCGCUGCUCCCUUGCUGCAGCGCCCUCCCCGUGGUGCCCACCAGCCUGCCGUGGUGGUCUCCUUCAGCUAUCCCUGCCAGCUGAGGGGGUCCUGGCCACCCUGGGAUCAUUCCUGUACUGCUGAGCAUCCACAUCCCCAUGUGCACGCCUCUGGGCUGCCCAUGAGCUUCCCGUUGCCCCCAGCAAGCCUCUCUCUGCAGCCCGUCUGGCUCAGCAGCCCGGGGAGCAGGGGAUUCACUGCGGCUCCUGGGAGCGAACAGAAUCCUCCAGACUGAGCCACAGCCGCCCAUGGGCCGGGAGAGGUGCCCUGGCUGGUUUGAGCCCUUUUCUUUGUUAGCAGCUAAGAUGUUUUGGUUAAGCCACAGACGGUUAGUUCAAAUGCAUACGCAUGAAUUGCAACCACACAUUACUGCUAAUUACCGUAACCAGAUGCUUUCCCCUGUGUUUGGGCAGCGUGCCCAAAAAAGCAAAAGCAAAACAUUGUCGGCAGGCGUAGCAGCAGAACAACCUAGCACAGCCCAGCACAGUUCCUCUUUAGGAAAGCAAGGGGAUGAUCUCCUUCGGCUGCCUGGCCCCUGGCAAGAAUGUG
rnacentral:lncRNA from 1 species